UUUCUUUUCAUUGCUAAGUAGUAUUCUGUUGCUAAGUAUUCCAUUCCGUUCCAUUUUUGUCGCCUUUGUCACAUUCCCUAAUAAGGUGUUGGCAGAUAAGCCUUUUCCUCAGGCUCUGCUUUCUGGCAAACCCAAGCUAAGACAGGUGUUACUGAGUGGUACCCUCUUCUGGUUGUUACCAUAAUCUCAGAACAUAUUCCGUGUACUCAUGCGCACAGUCAUUUAGAAGGUUGGUAGAAGCAGGGAAGCUGUGGAGUGGCUUCAGACAUUAAUUUAGAUUGUCCUUGGUAAUUCUUUGGGGCCCAAAGAAUAUAGAGAAUUAUUAAAGGUAAACCUAUAAUCUAGGAGAAAAGCUAUAUGAAUUUAUAGAAUAGGGCACCAUAAUGGGGCAUAUGUUUUAGAAAAAUUACCCUGAGAUAAAUGAUUUAAGAGCUCAUAUUUAGAAAUUCUUAAUUAAAGACAGAAAGUUCAUUUCGUGGAAUGCUUAGGAGGAGAUAAUCAUCAUGGUAUGCGUGGAUUCCAGAGAAAUUAGGAUUUGAUUGGUUAUGGAUUAUUUUCGUCCACAAGCAAAACCAUGAACAAGAGUUACACUAAGAGGAGGUCACUGGGGCAGGAUGAAGACAUUGAUUUUUCUUGGACACUCCAUUUGCAGUGCUUCACCCAGCAGCCUCCCCCCUACCAGAACGGAUCUGGAUGAAUCCAAAUGAUUAACACCCUGCUUUGCUAAAGGAAGCAGAUUCUGGGGAAAGGUGUCAAAAAGGGCAACCCGGUGAGGUAGUGUUGGUUCACAAACUUGGAAGCUUCUGGAUGAAAUCUGAAACUGGCCUCUGUACAUGGAGUGCCUGGGAGAGACCAAAGAAGGAGGCAGACCACUCCAGAUGGGUAGGUGGCGGGUUUCAUAAGCAAGGGAACUAUAUAUGAGGUUUGUCUUGGGUGAGUGCAAGAUGAAUAGAUCUCUGUACCUGCCUGGCAGCAUCUUAAAAAAG
rnacentral:lncRNA from 1 species